GUUGGGUAGGGGAGCGUUCUGUAAGCCUGUGAAGGUGGCCUGUGAGGGUUGCUGGAGGUAUCAGAAGUGCGAAUGCUGACAUAAGUAACGAUAAAGCGGGUGAAAAGCCCGCUCGCCGGAAGACCAAGGGUUCCUGUCCAACGUUAAUCGGGGCAGGGUGAGUCGACCCCUAAGGCGAGGCCGAAAGGCGUAGUCGAUGGGAAACGGGUUAAUAUUCCCGUACUUGGUGUUACUGCGAAGGGGGGACGGAGAAGGCUAUGUUGGCCGGGCGACGGUUGUCCCGGUUUAAGCGUGUAGGUGUGUGUUCCAGGUAAAUCCGGUUCACUUUAACACUGAGGCGUGA
rnacentral:rRNA from 2 species